CGUUCUAAAAGAAGAAAUUGGUACUAGAAGUUUAGUAUUUGAGUUGGAGUAGGAGGUUAUUCAACAUCCAAUUGGAUUAUCUUACAUUUCUUUCAAUUGGUAAGUAAGAUCAAUUUCAUCUUUCUUUUAUUUAUUUCUAAAUAAAAUAUUAAGAAGUGUGCAAAUUUUGAAUUAAUAUCAAUGAUUUGAUUAUUAGUUGUUGAGGUUUUAAUUUGCUAUAUGAAUUGAUUUAAGAUUUGUCUACAGUUUGAUUAGGACUUAGGAUUUGAUCUAGGGUUUGGUUAAGAUUAAGAUUUUCUUGGAGUUUGAUUUUAAACUUAACUAGAAAUUGAUUAGGCUUUGUUCAAGAUUUAAAAUUUUAUUAGGAUUUCAUUAAGAUUUGAUAUGAGAUUUGAUUAAAAUUCAAUUAGGAUUUUAUUUAAGAU
rnacentral:lncRNA from 1 species